rnacentral:tRNA from 1 species
GCCUCGCUGGCUCUGUUGGUAGAGCAUGGGACUCUUGAUCUUGGGGUCAUGAGUAUGAGCCCCAUGUUGGGCA